AUUGAACGCUGGCGGCAGGCCUAACACAUGCAAGUCGAGCGGAGCGGCGGACGGGAGAGGAAGGCCUAGGACUCUGCCUGGUAGGGGGGGAUAACGUCCAGAAACGGGCGCUAAUACCGAAUAGUAGCAGAUGAGUCUAGGUCGGAUUAGCUAGUAGGUGGGGUAAAGGCCUACCAAGGCGACUAGCCGUACCUGGUCUGAGAGGAUGAUCCGUCACACUGGAAUUGAGACACGGUCCCGCCUCCUACGGGAGGCAGCAGUGGGGAAUAUUGGACAAUGGGCGAAGUCCUGAUCCAGCCAUGCCGCGUGGUUGAAGAAGGUUUUCGGAUUGUAAAGCACUUUAAGUUGGGCGGCGUUACCGACAGAGGAAGCACCGGCUAACUCCGUGCCAGCAGCCGCGGUAAUAC
rnacentral:rRNA from 1 species